CCCUUAGAUGUUCUGGGCUGCACGCGCGCUACACUGAUGCGCUCAACGAGUUUUAACCUUGCCUGGAAAGGUUGGGUAAUCUUUUUAAAACGCAUCGUGAUGGGGAUAGAUUAUUGCAAUUAUUAAUCUUCAACGAGGAAUUCCUAGUAAGCGCGAGUCAUCAGCUCGUGCUGAUUACGUCCCUGCCCUUUGUACACACCGCCCGUCGCUCCUACCGAUUGAAUGGUCCGGUGAAGCGUUCGGACCGUGGCCUUUGGACGGUUCGCCGUCUGUUGGCUGCGGGAAGUUCGUUAAACCUUAUCAUUUAGAGGAAGGAGAAGUCGUANCA
rnacentral:rRNA from 1 species